rnacentral:rRNA from 1 species
GGUCCAGACUCCUACGGGAGGCAGCAGUGGGGGAUAUUGCACAAUGGGGGAAACCCUGAUGCAGCGACGCCGCGUGGACGAAGAAGUAUUUCGGUAUGUAAAGCCCUAUCAGCAGGGAAGAAGAAAUGACGGUACCUGAGUAAGAAGCACCGGCUAAAUACGUGCCAGCAGCCGCGGUAAUACGUAUGGUGCAAGCGUUAUCCGGAUUUACUGGGUGUAAAGGGAGCGUAGACGGCGAUACAAGUCUGAAGUGAAAGCCCGGGGCUCAACCCCGGGACUGCUUUGGAAACUGUGUUGCUGGAGUGCUGGAGAGGCAAGCGGAAUUCCUAGUGUAGCGGUGAAAUGCGUAGAUAUUAGGAAGAACACCAGUGGCGAAGGCGGCUUGCUGGACAGUAACUGACGUUGAGGCUCGAAAGCGUGGGGAGCAAACAGGAUUAGAUACCCCAGUA